rnacentral:tRNA from 5 species
UCCUCGAUAGCUCAGUUGGUAGAGCGUCGGACUGUUAAUCCGCAGGUCCCUGGUUCGAGUCCAGGUCGAGGAGCCA